rnacentral:rRNA from 1 species
CUGACUGCUAUCGGAUUGAUACUAAGCCAUGCGAGUCAUUGUAGUAAUACAAGGCAUACGGCUCAGUAACGCGUAGUCAACCUACCUUAUGGACGGGGAUAACCUCGGGAAACUGAGAAUAAUACCCGAUAGAACAUAAUUCCUGGAAUGGUUUAUGUUUCAAAUAAUUUAUUGCCGUAGGAUGGGACUGCGGCCUAUCAGUUUGUUGGUGAGGUAAUGGCCCACCAAGACUAUUACAGGUACGGGCUCUGAGAGGAGUAGCCCGGAGAUGGGUACUGAGACACGGACCCAGGCCCUAUGGGGCGCAGCAGGCGAGAAAACUUUGCAAUGUGCGAAAGCACGACAAGGUUAAUCCGAGUGGUUUCUGCUAAAGGAACCUUUUGACAGUCCUAGAAACACUGUUGAAUAAGGGGUGGGCAAGUUCUGGUGUCAGCCGCCGCGGUAAAACCAGCACCUCAAGUGGUCAGGAUGAUUAUUGGGCCUAAAGCAUCCGUAGCCUGCUUUGUAAGUUUUCGGUUAAAUCCAUACGCUCAACGUAUGGGCUGCCGGGAAUACUGCAAAGCUAGGGAGUGGGAGAGGUAGACGGUACUCGGUAGGAAGGGGUAAAAUCCUUUGAUCUAUUGAUGACCACCUGUGGCGAAGGCGGUCUACCAGAACACGUCCGACGGUGAGGGGAUGAAAGCUGGGGGGAGCAAACCGGAUUAGAUACCCGGGUAGUCCCAGCUGUAAACCAUGCAAACUCGGUGAUGCAUUGGCUUG